AACGAACACUGGCGACAUGCCUAACACAUGCAAGUCGAACGAGAUCUUCGGGUCUAGUGGCGCACGGGUGCGUAACGCGUGGGAAUCUGCCCUUUGGUUCGGAAUAACAGUUGGAAACGACUGCUAAUACCGGAUGAUGACGAAAGUCCAAAGAUUUAUCGCCAGAGGAUGAGCCCGCGUAGGAUUAGCUAGUUGGUGUGGUAAAGGCGCACCAAGGCGACGAUCCUUAGCUGGUCUGAGAGGAUGAUCAGCCACACUGGGACUGAGACACGGCCCAGACUCCUACGGGAGGCAGCAGUGGGGAAUAUUGGACAAUGGGCGAAAGCCUGAUCCAGCAAUGCCGCGUGAGUGAUGAAGGCCUUAGGGUUGUAAAGCUCUUUUACCCGGGAUGAUAAUGACAGUACCGGGAGAAUAAGCUCCGGCUAACUCCGUGCCAGCCGCCGCGGUAA
rnacentral:rRNA from 1 species